GGUCCCUUAGCUCAGCUGGAUAGAGCGCCGCCCUCCGAAGGCGGAGGCCAGAGGUUCGAAUCCUCUAGGGACCGCCA
rnacentral:tRNA from 1 species